rnacentral:lncRNA from 1 species
CCAAACCCAAAAGACUGACCCAGCCCACACCCCUUUAAUACUCUCUUCUCCAAUACAGCAAACAACAACAUUUAAUAUCAACAAAACCAAAUCAUUAACUCCCUUUGCCCUUUCUUUUCCCCAUCAAUAUCAAUAAUUUCAACAAAAACAACAACCAACCACGCUUUCAAACAUCACAACGUACAAAAUCAGUCAACAAUAGCUGCAACAACAACUCAACAACAAUGAUCAAAUCGUACCAAUUUUAUCCCAAAAUUCAAAAUUUCAAAAUCUUUUCCAAAAAUUCAAAAAUACCCUCCUCUGUUCCCCUCAAAAUUGGUCCAUAAAUACCCAAGAAAAAGAGUGAAGGAGGGGGGAUCUCUUUGGAGAAUUCUUAAGAGAAAAAAAAAAAGGAACUUUUUGGAGAGGAUUUUAAGGAAAAAAUUGGGGAUUAUGGAGGCGCAUGCUUCUAAUCCCACAUAACUGAAAAUUUUUGAAGAACACAUCCGAAAAACUUGAUUCCGGCGAACAAAAGCAUCGGUGAAGGCUUCGUCGUAAUAGACUCUUCUGUCCUGGUUCCUGCCCCAAAAAGGUAAAUAACUCAGUUCUUUUUUUUUUUGUUUACACUUUUUCCUCUGCUCGGCGUGCGAAUGCGAUAUUAUAAACUAUAGUUGAAUAUUCUGCUCUUCCUGUUAUUGUGGGAUUUGUAUAAUUUAUGUCUACCUUAAUAAUGAAUUAAUAAAUUAAUAAAUAAAGGCUAAUAAUCGAGUGUUAUUAAUUUUGGGGAAAACGGAAAGGAGUUGAGGGAGAAAAAGGAAUUGCAGGACGUGGUCAUAUGGGUACAUGAUUUUUGUUAAUUUUUUUUUUUUUAAUCUUUUCCUUACUUCUUGUUUAGGAAAGAAAUUAUUAUUCUCUAAAUUAAUCAUGUAUCAUUAUAAUUAUUAUUAUUUUAAAAAAGGAAUGAUUUUCCUGAUUGUUAGUUGGAUUUUACAGUAUUUAUUUAUUUAAGGUAAAAUAAUUUUUAAUUGUCACUUAAUUUGUUUGUCUAUUUAUUGUCUCCUUUUAUAUGUUGUUUCGGGUUACUAGAAUACUAAUCCCUUUUACUUACUUCAAACAAAUUGAUUCUAGAGUUGGUAGUGAAUAUGUAUGAAUAAUAAAUUUUUUCACAUUGCUUUUUUGACUAGUUAUGUUUGUACUAUUUGAAUAAAGUCUUAUCUUUAUAUUUUUUUUUGAUGCAUGUGACACCGACUUGAAUCCAAUUGGACUUCUUCGCCCCAGCACUUCUUAGAGACCAAAGUCCCGAAAAUGGACUAAAUCCAACCAAUCAUUUAAUGUAUAUGAACAGUAAAGAAAAAUUUUCAGUAAGAUGCACAGACUACAAAUAUACAAAUAACAAAAAACUGAUGAAGAAAUUGAAGAAUGUGAAAAUAUUAAUUUUAUGAAUAUAUAAAUAUUAGAAGAAGACUUUGAAGUAAAUAAAGCUAUAAUAAAAGCAGAAGUGCUAUAUGAAAUAAAUAGCAAUAGUGCAUUUAAAUGUACAGGUUGUAAAUUAGGGAAUUUAAAACUUGAAGAAAUAAAAGAACAUUUUAUAAAAUGUGAAUUAAGAAUAGAUAAUUAUAGUUAAACGCGUAAACAGGAACUAAAAGGUGAAGACGAAGAAUCAAAUUAUAGUAUAGAAGAAAGUAUAAAGGAAUUUAUGGAAAGCACAACAAGUUUCUCAAGCCCUUUCCAAAGAGCAACCGAUAUACAAAACGUACCAUUAACAACAGGAAAGUUACCAAGGCAUAGAGUAUUUAGAACAAACCCAAACACUCUAAUAGAACAAGACAUAAAACCUAGAGGAAAAAGAAUGCCAAUAGAAAAACCCAUUAGAUUACAAAAAGGAAGUAAUAAAGGAAAAAUUUUAAACUUGCCAGCCCAUGACCCUCAGGCAUGGAAUCAUGUCAUAGACAUAUGAAAAAAUGUAGUUGUAGCAGACUACAUACAACAUAUACAGGGUAAUCAAGAACCAAAUGCAGAAAUUAUGUAUAGAUAUUUAUAAACAUUUCUAGGAGAAAGUAUUAAAGCACUUUGGGAAGCUUAUAAAAUAAUAUUCCCACAAGACUUUCAAGAAUUAGUAGAACUAGGCUCAAAUUCAUACAAUUUUGUAAAUAAGGUACAUACUCUACUAACAUGCCAAGAUCUCAAUAGUGGAUUAGUAGUAUUACAACAAAGAGCUUUAAUAAAUUUAGAACAAUUAAGUAUUAAUCAUUGGUCAAAAAUUAAAGAAUUUUUAAAUGAUUACUUUUAUUAUUGUACAAUUAGUGGAAACACAUUUGAUCAGACUCUAGGAGCUAGAUUAUUUAAUAAAUUACCAGGAGCUUUAGAAAGAGAGAUAGAAGAAAAAUGGUCUAAAAGAGAAGGUUUAAUACAAACAAACAACCCAUGGUCAAUAGGACAAAGAAUACAACAUGUAAUGAAUGUAUUACAAGAAAAAUGUACAAAUAUACAGAUAUAAAAAUAAUUAAAAUGAAGUGAUACAGAUUUUUGUAAGACCAUAUAUACUACUCAACACUAUGACCAAGAUUAUAAAAAGAAAAAAUAUUUGAUAAAUAUAGAUGAAUAUAUGUCAGAUAAUGAAAGUAUAUACUCUAUCAGAAGUAUGGAAGUUUUUGAAUAAGAAAAGGAUAAUUCUGAUUCUCCAGACUCUGGAGAAAACGGAUUUAUAAAUGAAAUAGGACUAGAAAGAACAAAUACAGACUAUCACUUAGUCAAUAACACAGACUAUCACUUAGUCACAGACUAUUAUGAUUUAGUAAAUCUGAUAGAAGAACGUGAACACAAAUUUGAAGAAGGAAAAAGAUUAGACAGUUAUCAAUGUUGUUUUUGUAAAUGGUUUCCAAGUAAAAACAAAAGGGCAAAAUGUAGGAAAUGUUACAAGGAAGCAUGCAUAAAAUGUAUAGAGAAAGCAUCAGAAAUCUUAGAAACUUCGAAAUCAACCCGUAAUUUAAAUAAAUUUUACAACAAGGAACCAAUAACAAGAACAACAAAAGAUCGAAUAUUAGAAUUAGAAGAAAGACUAAAAAGACUAGAGAUAAGAAUAUACAGUAAAGAUAUAAUUAAGGAAGAUGACUUAGUAGAGGUAGAAUUAUUUAAUACAUCUGUUAGAAAUAAUAAAGUUAAAAAUUGAUGAAUGUACCAUUUGAAGGAAUGGUAUGUAAUGAAGAAAAGAAAAUUAGUACAGUCAAGGUUUUAGCGAGAAUAAAAAUUCAAGACCAUGAGUUCGAGACUUUAGCUGUAGUUGAUUUAGGAUGUACAAAGAGCAUUUUAAAUAGUAGAAUUUUACCAGCAAAAUUAAUUAAAAAAUUGCCAAAACCUCAAGAAUCCAUGCAAAUGGAUGGGACAUAUAAUACCUAUACAGACUAUAUACCAAAAGCAAAAAUAAAUUUUAUUAAUACAUGUGAAAAAUUCUACCAACUAUCAUAUACACUUAGUGAAAUACUAGUUAGAGAUUUGGAUAAAAGUUUUAAUUUAUUUUGUUAAGAUAGCACAUUAUUUGUUAGACUGCUUUGGGUAAAAGUUUUAAUUUAUUUUGUUGGAAUAAUUGUAUUUCUUUAUCUACGUCUAUUACUUCUUCUAACUGUUGUCUUGAAGUCAUUCUUGGUUUAUUUAUUAUUUUUGAUAGCACAUUAUUUGUUAAACUGUUUUGGGUAAAACUUGAUCUUUGUCUUGUAAAACUUGAUCUUUUUCUACUUGGGAAUGCUGAAAAAAGGUCCAUGGUUUUGGCUUAGUUGGUAUAGUUAUUUUAGCUUCUUUUAAUUCUUUUUGAGGGGUUAUUUCUAUCCUUUUUAGUUGUUAUAUUAAUUCUUCUAUAUUUUUAUCUUGAUUGUCUUUUUCUAAGGUUUCCUUUUCUAGUUUUAGUAGUAGUUAUUGGAGAUGGUAGAAUAAAAUUGCAACCACACAUAGAUAAAAAAAAGUCUUAGAAAUGUCAAAUAAAUUAGACAAGACUAAAGAUUUACAAAAAAUUUUAGGACUCUUAAAUUAUGCUAGAGCUUUCAUCAAAGAUUUAGAAAAAGUAGCAGGACCACUAUACUCUAAAAUAGGAUCAAUUUGCCCAAGACCCAAAUGCAAACGAUAAUUCAGGAAUGGAGUUUGACUCAGAGGCUUUACAUAAUUUGGACACGUAAGCAGUGACAAUAUCUACAAAAGACAAAAUAGCAGACGUAAGAAAUAUUAGAUAAAUAAAUGAACGGAGGAGAAUUAAAGAAAGAUAUUUGCCGCCGGGCCCACCCAAGUUGAUAAAUCUUGCUAAAGUCUUUACAAAGGAUUUGAAAUCCACAAAAAAGUAAGAUUUGAAGUCCAAAAAUGCCUAUAAAUACUCCCUUUAUGGAAGACAAAAACAUGUACCAAAGAGAGAAAAAAAUCAAGAGUGAGAAAGUAUUCAUAAAGUUCUUAGCUUUUCUUAAAGUUCUUAGUUUCCAAAGUUUGUAAGUUACUUCAAAAAAAAAAAAAAAGAGGAGUGUGUGAAAAGUGUGAAAAGUUUUCUUAGUUCUUCAUUUUUCGGUGGCUAUCAAGUUUUCAGGGGACUCACGAAAGGGAAACCUCACUUCUUCAUUAAGGCAUGUAAGUAGUAGUUACAUAGGUCUAAAUGCAAACGACAUGACCAGCCAUUCAAAAUGUCCUUCUGGACAUAUGAAAGUUGUCUAUUCUAUACUAUUUUCAUGCAUUUUAAUCUGCCAAUAUCCAGAUUUACAAUCAAAUUUACUAAAUACUUUUCUUCCUUGUAUUCUAUUUAUCAAUUCUGUUUUGUCUAGUAACUUAUAUCCAUCAAUUACAGUAUUAUCAUUUAGUCUUUUGUAAUUUAUUACCAUUCUAGUUUUUCCUCUCACUAUUUCACUAUGGUUUCUUACUAUGAAAGCUGCUGACCUAUAUCUUGACGUAGAUCUUCUAAUUAUUCCUAAUUAUAGUAGCUUUUUUAUUUGUAUUUCAAAGUCUUUAAGGUCUUCAUUUGUAGUUUCUAUAGAUGUUGUUUUUAUAGUAUAUUCUGGAUUAAUUAUUUCUAAUUUGCAGGUAAUUUGAUUGGAGUCCCAAUGUUGCAAGGAUUUUUCUCCAAUUAUUUCUAGCUUAUCUAGGAUUUGUAUUAUUUUUUCUAAGUCUAUUUGAUCUUUUAUUACUCCUAUCUGUUGUAUACCUCUCUUAAAAUUGUAUAAUUCUAUAUUUAUUUCUAUUAAAGUAUAGUCUUUUUCUAUUUCUUCUACUACUAAUAAAUCUUGUAAUUCUUCAUACAUUGUUGCUUUUUUAUUAUCAUUACAUGUACAAUUUUCUCCUUUAUUACAUUCUAGUGAUAUUUUGGGUUUUAUUUUGUUAUCUAAGCUUUCCUCUGGCUUAUCCUUAAGAAGGCGAUAUUUAGUUAAAGUAGGUUGUGUAUGUACUGGCGAGUGAGUGAUAUUACUGGCGAAUAUUACCCAAUUUUUUGUAACUAGACAUCCUCCAUUAUUUUGUACCAUAAAAUCUAAUCCUAACACAAAGUCUUCUUUUAUGUUUAAAUCUCUAGCUAGUAUUUCACUAAGUGUAUAUGAUGGUUAGUAGAAUUUUUCACAAGUAUUAAUAAAAUUUAUUUUUGCUUUUGGUAUAUAGUCUGUAUAGGUAUUAUAUGUCUCGUCCAUUUGCAUGGAUUCUUGAGGUUUUGGCAAUUUUUUAAUUAAUUUUGCUGGUAAAAUUCUACUAUUUAAAAUGCUCUUUGUACAUCCUAAAUCAACAAUAGCUAAAGUCUCGAACUCACGGUCUUGAAUUUUUAUUGUCGCUAAAACCUUGACUUACUAAUUUUCUUUUCUUUAUUACAUACCAUUCCUUCAAAUGGUACAUUCAUCGAUUUUUUAACUUUAUUAUUUCUAACAGAUGUAUUAAAUAAUUCUACCUCUACUAAGUCUUCUUCCUUAAUUAUAUCUUUACUGUACAUUCUUAUCUCUAGUCUUUCUUCUAAUUCUAAUAUUCUAUCUUUUGUUGUUCUGGUUUUGGUUUCAUGUUGUAAAAUUUAUUUAAAUUACGAGUUGAUUUCGGAGUAUCUAAGAUUUCUGAUGCUUUCUCUAUACAUUUUAUGCAUGCUUCCAUGUAACAUUUCCUACAUUUUGCCCUUUUGUUUUUACUUGGAAACCAUUUACAAAAACAACAUUGAUAACUGUAUAAUCUUUUUCCUUCUUCAAAUUCGUGUUCACAUUCUUUUAUUAGAUUUACUAAAUCAUAAUAGUCUGUGACUAAGUGAUAGUCUGUGUUAUUGACUAAGUGAUAGUUUGUGUUUGUUCUUUCUAGUCCUAUUUCAUUUAUAAAUUCGUCUUUUCCAAAGUCUGAAGAAUCAGAAUUAUCCUUUACUUCUUCAAAAACUUUCAUACUUCUGAUAGAGUAUAUACUUUCAUUAUCUGACAUAUAUUCAUCUACAUUUAUCAAAUUCUCAUUCAUAUCCCCUAUUAAUUGUGCAUUUCUAGAUCUAUUAUUAUUUCUUUUUGGACAAGUAUUUGCUAAAUGCUCUAUACUUCCACAAGUAAAACAUUCUAAUUUGUUCUUAUAGGUUUAAUCAGUGUUAUAUUUUCUCACAUGUUUAUUCUUAUCUAAGUAUGGUUUUCUCGCAUUUGAUCUCCUCAAGUAAUAUUUCUUCUUAGGGCGAUAGUGCUUUUUACAUGUCUUUUUAUAUUUUUUUCUUUUUAUAAUCUUGGUCAUAAUGUUGAAUAGAUAUAUGGUCUUACAAAAAUCUGUAUCACUUCUUUUUAAUUAUUUUUAUAUCUGUAUAUUUGUACAUUUUUCUAGUAAUAUAUCCAUUACAUGUUGUAUUCUUUGUCCUAUUGACCAUGGGUUGUUUGGGUUUUGUAUUACUCUUUCUCUUUUAGACCAUUUUUCUUCUAUCUCUCUUCCUAAAGCUCCUGGUAAUUUAUUAAAUAAUUUAGCUCCUAGAGUCUGAUUAAAUGAGUUUCCACUAAUUGUACAAUAAUAAAAGUAAUUAUUUAAAAAUUCUUUAAUUCUUGACCAAUGAUUAAUACUUAAUUGUUCUAAAUUUAUUAAAGCUCUUUGUUGUAAUACUACUAAUCCACUAUUGGGAUCUUGGCCUGUUAGUAGAGUAUGUACCUUAUCUACAAAAUUGUAUAGAUUUGAGCCUACUUCUACUAAUUCUUGAAAGUCUUGUGGGAAUAUUAUUUUAUAAGCUUCCCAAAGUGCUUUAGUACUUUCUCCUAGAAAUGUUUCUAAAUAUCUAUACAUAAUUUCUGCAUCUGGUUCUUGAUUACCCUGUAUAUAUUGUAUGUAGUCUGCUACAACUACAUUUUCCCAUAAGUCUAUUACAUGAUUCCAUGACUGAGGGUCAUGGGAUGGCAAGUUUAAAAUUUUUCCUUUAUUACUUCUUUCUUGUAAUCUAAUGGGUUCUUCUAUUGACAUUCUUUUGUCUCUAGGUUUUAUGUCUUGUUCUAUUAGAGUGUUUGGCUUUGUUCUAAAUACCCCAUGCCUUGGUAAAUUUUCUGUUGUUAAUGGUACGUUUUGCAUUCUGGUACUGACUACAUAUCAUUAAGAAUAGAUAAUUAUGGUAAUACACGUAAAAAAAAACUAAUAGGUGAAGACGAAGAAUCAAAUUAUAGUAUAAAAGAAAGUAUAAAGGAAUUUAUGGAAAGCGCAGCAAGUUCCUCAAGUCCUUUCCAAAGAACAAUCGGUAUGCAAAACGUACCAUUAACAAUAGGAAAUUUACCAAGACAUAGAGUAUUUAGAACAAACCCAAAAACUCUAACAGAACAAGACAUAAAACCUAGAGAAAAAAGAAUGCCAAUAGAAGAACCUACUAGAUUACAAGAAAGAAGUAAUAAAGGAAAAUUUUAAACUUGCCAGCCCAUGACCCUCAGGCAUGGAAUCAUGUAAUAGAUAUAUCGAAAAAUGUAGUUGUAGCAGACUACAUACAACAUAUAUAGGGUAAUCAAGAAUCAGAUGCAGAAAUUAUGUAUAGAUAUUUAGAAACAUUUCUAGGAGAAAGUAUUAAAGCACUUUGGGAAGCUUAUAAAAUAAUAUUCCCACAAGACUUUCAAGAAUUAGUAGAACUAGGCUCAAAUUCAUACCACUUUGUAAACAAAGUACAUACUCUACUCAUAGGACAGGAUCCCGAUAGUGGAUUGGUAGUGUUAUAACAAAGAGCUAUAAUAAAAUUAAAACAAUUAAGUAUUAAUCAUUGGUCAAGAAUUAAAGAAUUUUUAAAUAAUUACUUUUAUUAUUGUACAAUUAGUGGAAACUCAUUUGAUCAGACUCUAGAAGCUAGAUUAUUUAAUAAAUUACCAGGAGCUUUAGAAAGAGAGAUAGAAGAAAAAUGGUCUAAAAGAGAAGGAGUAAUACAAAACAUGAAUAUAUUACAAGAAAAAUGUACAAAUAUACAGAUAUAAAAAUAAUUAAAAUGAAGUGAUAAAGAUUUUUGUAAGACCAUAUAUACUACUCAACACUAUGACCAAGAUUAUAAAAAGAAAAAAUAUAAAAAGACAUAUAAAAAAGACUAUCGCCCUAAGAAGAAAUAUUACUUGAGGAGAUCAAAUGCGAGAAAAUCAUACUUAGAUAAGAAUAAACAUGUGAGAAAAUAUAAUACUGGUAGAACCUAUAAGAAUAAAUUAGAAUGUUUUACUUGUGGAAGUAUAGAGCAUUUAGCAAAUACUUGUCUAACAAGAAAUAAUAAUAGCUAGAAAUGCACAAUUAAUAGAGGAUGUCGUAUAGUCUUUUUCCAUUUCUUCUACUACUAAUAAAUCUUGGACUCCAAUCAAA